rnacentral:rRNA from 1 species
UACGAAGGGGACUAGCGUUGUUCGGAAUCACUGGGCGUAAAGCGCACGUAGGCGGAUUCGUAAGUCAGGGGUGAAAUCCCGGGGCUCAACCUCGGAACUGCCUUUGAUACUGCGGGUCUUGAGUCCGAUAGAGGUGGGUGGAAUUCCUAGUGUAGAGGUGAAAUUCGUAGAUAUUAGGAAGAACACCGGUGGCGAAGGCGGCCCACUGGAUCGGUACUGACGCUGAGGCGCGAAAGCGUGGGGAGCAAACAGG